CCGGAGCGGUAUUUCGUCGCGUGACGCCGUGGCGUUCGCAUCGAUCCGGGCGAGACGGCGCGAACCCCGUAAGGGCGGAUAAGCCGAGGCGCACGGCCGAAAAUCAAUCCCGGCGCGUGUCAAGCUCUCGCGUCCGCGGCGGCAGCGGCGAAGAUACGACUGUCGGCUCUCGAAAAGGUUGUUUCUCCUCCCGACCAAGGGUUGAUCGACCAGAGAGAGAGAGAGAGAGAGACGAGUAGAACUGACGACGUUCGAGAGACAAGAUCGACCGCGAUGCUGAAGAAGUUCCUCGGCAAGUCCGGCCGCAGGAUCCUGCGGGCGAUCAAGAAGCUGUCUACCAGGAGCCGCAAAGCCAAAAGGUCGUGCAAUCCUAGCUCCUGGCACACGGCUAUCCCGGACCUCGAGACUACCUCGCUCUCGUGGUCCUUGCCGUCCCUGGACGCCAAAAGUAUCGACACGUACAUGACGUACGUGGCCGAGAACCAAGAGGAAUGCACGUCGAACUGUUGUUGCUGCGACGAGUACGAGGAGAACCAGAGGAACGAGAACAGGGAGAACGAGAUGAUAAUCUAACGUCCGUGCCGCUAGGCGCGAGCUAGGAUGACCGGCGCCCUCGCAGGCUCGCUCGCUCGUCCCGCGAUCGAAUUCGCCGGCGAUCGUCCGCGAGAGAGAGAGAAAGAGAGAGAGAGGGUGGCAAUGAAUCGCACGCGCGCCAUUCGAAACGAAUAUUUAACCCUUAACUGGUGAGUACGAGUACUCAUUCGACGUUGUUCCCUUGGUUUUUAUUUUCAAGAACAUUUUUCGUUUCCGUGACCACGACCACAGCGCGACGGCUAGUGCAAUGGCUGUACCAAAGAGUUAACACAUAUCGACAACCUGCAAUUCCGGUUAAGGGUUAAUCACGAUCCCUCCGUAAUCUGUUUUACACACGCGCACACACACAAACACACACACACACACACACACACACACACACACACACACACACACACACACGCACGCACGCACAAGCGCGCGCGCGCAAAUACAUAGACAUAUACGAGCGCUUUUACGCGCUCCCUUAUUUUUCGAUAGAUACAUGUCGUACGUCGAGAAGCUCAUACAGCACAGAGAGAUUGCAGAAUAAUUGCAAAGAUAUUUCAUUGCAAGGUUGCAACUUUGCAAAAAUGCUGGGAAAUGUUGCUGCAGUGGUAACUCAUGUAGCACAGCAUAGAAAGAGCGUCGCAAAAUAUUGCUGCAAUGUUUCAGCAAUGUUGCAGCGAUGGUAAAAUGUUCGUUUCACAAAUAUUGAUUCGUAAUGUCAACGUAUAUAAUAUUACGUAUUAAUAUUUCUGAAGCGGACAUUUUAUCGUUGCUGCAAUAUUGCUGAAAUAUCGUAGGAAUAUUUUGCAAUGUUUUUGCUAUUCUGUGCUGUACGGGAAAGUCUCCGCCUUUAGACGUAUUGCAAUAUUACAAUGUAAUACGUUUCGGUGUCUCCGAUAUUACUCCAAAUAUCGUUAACAUAUUUUGGCAUAUAUAACUUCUAGGAAUGUGAUUAUCCUUCUAAAAUAAUUUAGAUGAAGAAUCAAAAAUUCUACUAUCAAAAUCUCAUUUACUUUAUUCGAACUCAAUUUUGACGACUCACCCCUUUAAUUCUUUGCAGCGUGCAUUUUUCUAUCAGCCCAAUUUUAACGAAAUUUGGUAUAUACUCGGGAGAUUUAUACUCUCGCUGAUUUCGAAAUCAAAAUUUGAAAAUUUGAAAAAAGACGUAAAAAGAUGCAAAAAAUUUGUAAAAAUUGUAAAAAAAAAACUGAAUAGAGAAAGAUGACAUAUGAGUGUGUCACUACGCCACAAAGGAUUAAAGAAUCAUUUCAUUAGAAUACGAGUGGUUUUCUAAUUACAAGUAAAAUUCCGUCCAUCUAAUGAAACACGAGACAUUAAUUUUUACAAAUAUUUUUCAAAAAGCUUGCGGUAACAGUGUUGAAAUAAUAUUCAGAAAAGAUCUUCGCAAUGCCUACGUAAUAUGCACUAUCGCAGCAUUGUAACGAUGCUGCUGCAAGCUUCUGUGCUGUACGGGAGAUAGAAGACGCUCUGUGGCUGGACCUCGGAUUGUAUUAUAGCCGUAUCUCGAUUCCCUCGGCGUAUCAUCGGGAGAUAAGGACGCGGGGGAGACGCGACGCUUUAUGUAUAUUUCCCAUAGUUAGUCUUCCAGACUAGAUUUAUUUUCUAGCGCCGCGACUUGUAUUUUUCAGCGCGAAUCGCCUACACGCGCGACUCUCGCGCUCGCUUCGAUCUCAUUUAGCGCCGUUAAUUCCAUAUAUAAGACAGACGUGUCUUACGUACUUAUUUAUUGCCGCGAUGAAAAUAAGCCGCGAUUGCGAGCGCGGUCGUACAUUGAUAAUUAAGUUGACCCGUUCGAUUCAAUUCCUGGCGCUGAUCCGACGGAUCCGACGUUUCUUUUCCCCUUCCUUGACUUUUAUCGUUUCUUUCGUCGCGCAAGUAAGGAAAAGGAGCGACGCGACGCUCCGCGCGUCAUAUCGUCUCUUUCGACAUAGCGAAUAGCAAUAUGUGACGUAGUACAAAAAAAAAUAUAUAAUAUAUAUAUCUCGCCUAGCGUGUUAUCGACGAGCGUUCGGGCGGCGGAAUGACGUCCGGAAUUUAAUAGGACUUUUCCAUCCGUCAUCCGCGCGGUUUUAUCAUAUCGGGUCUAACUCGUGGAUCACUAUUUUGCAAUAUCACUGUUUUUCGGUGUCACGAAAACUGUUUUUUAGAUGAUUUGAUCGAUUACUUGUUCUCGCGAGCCCGUACGUGUCCCAGACACGUGUAUACCCGCGCGGCGGAACAUUUUACUGCAUGUGUGUGUGCGUGCAUGUGUAUGAGUGUGUGCGUGCGUGUGCGUGUGCGUGCGUGGAUGUGUGCAGGUAAUUUAUAUCUAAUUAUUGUAAACCCCGAAAAGAAAGGUUUCAGGGGACUAGCGAUUAGAAUUAACAGCCACGAGAUCUAGGAUAACGAGGGAAAAUUCAAACUAUCUAUUUCUUUCACUUAACUAUGCACUGACGCAAAUACGUCUCUCAGCGGCACUCGGCUGUAUACGAAUCAAAAUAUCAAAGGUUUAAUCGAGUAGGACACAAUCCGAACGUAUCCCUGCUGUAUCCCUACUUGUUGAUAUAAAGAUUUCGGGGAUGCAAAGAUUUCUAAGAGGAAAAAUUUCGACUUUUUUGAACUCGCUGUCGUCACUCUUACUAUAUCAUAAUCAUCCUAGGUGUUCAAUAUUUCGCGCGGUCAAGGUGCAUCCGUUAGAUUAGUCGGCAGAUACACGAGCGACCCUCGGUACGGGUUAAACUUAUCAGAGUUUAAUUCCGAAGAAGAAGAGCAGUGUACGUCUACGAGCCACUUCUGUAAUUCUAAAACGAUCUAGCGGGCGAUACAUUCGCUUAAGGUUUAUUUUGUAUUUAAUACGUUUCGCCAAGUUCGAGUAUCGACGGUAUUUAUGCAAUAAGUCGCACCGGCCUGAUUCACUCGUACCGAAUUCUUCUAUUUCCGAUCGUUUCCGGCACCUUUGCUCAAAGCGCGCAAAAGUCAAUCUUCACAAAAUGUAGCGAGAUGCGUUUCCAUUCUUCCUACGGGUUGAAAUUGUAAGAAGAAGAAAAAGAUAAAGAAGAAAAAGAAGAAGAAGAAGAAGAAGAGAAGAGCUUUAAUGACUUAUAUCUAUGUAUAGAUGCAGAAUUUAUAUAUACAAAGAGAAACUAUAAAAAUAUGGAUGUAUAAUAUGGAUGAUGCGUGUUGAUAUACUUUAUCGUCUCGAUAAGGCUGUGACUUUGUAAAGCGGAUGUGAGUGUCGUAAAUAAAAUGGUUUUAUUGACGA